AGAGCUCUAGGAGAGGAUGUAGCCCCACCUGACACCUUGACACUCAGUCAGGGGGGGACCCUGAGAAGAUAAUCCAGGCCCACCACAUUCAGACUUCUGACCUACAGAAAUUGUGAGAAAAAAAUCUAACAACUCUGGACUGUUGACAAACAUUCCCUUUUGCGGUCGCAACUCCUCUUGAAGCCAAAAUGAGAUGAUAGUUGAAGACGGAAAUUUAUACAACAGAAUACUGCUCAGCCAUAAAAAAAAGAUGAAAUAAUGCCAUUUGCCACAAGAUGGAUGCAACUGGAGAUUACCAUACUAAGUGAGCCUUUGCCCUCUGAUGGGAAUGAAGCAGCAAGCCGCCAAGCCACACAACGGAAGCCUGAAAUGAGAUGACUUGGGCAAUUUGCACAAGAGUUUCCUACUUUAAAUAAUUAGAGUCACUAUCCCUGGGGGCAUUUGCUUAUUGGCUGCCUUAACAGUCUUCUUCUUUUUUUUUUUUUAAAGCAAGUCUCUUAAAGAUACUGCUCUUGAUCUUACACGCACUUGCCAAGACUUGUCUUAUUCUUAUAGUACUGAUGUUCUACUGUUCAAAAGUUAGGAAGGAGCUGAUUCUGAGCUGGAAACAAGGGCAGCAGAAGAUAGAGAUAGUAGGCUCAUUUUGUGCAUGAGUCCCAGAGAGAGAGAGUGCCAGCCAUUGCAGGAGGUGGGUUUGAGGGGUUGGAUGUGCAAAAUGAGGUCUAGCUGGCAGCCCCUGGGCAAUCUGCUGACGGUGGGUUGGAAAUGGCAACUGUUGAAAAACACCGCAAACUGAGGUUGUUUCUCAUCUGAAACAUGGCGUCUGCCCUGACUGUAAAUGAUCCCCACAGGGAACUAGGCAAGGGUGUGCUGGUAAACUGGCUCUUUGGAAAGAAAAAAAAGGAGGGUUGGUUUGUAACCUUAGUACAUACUCUGACUCUGGCACAUUUCCAGCUACCACGGUUAACCUGCCUGCCAAAAUCCCGAAUGUUUAACACUCCUCCCUCUGGAACUGGUACCAGAAGCUCCAGCCCGCCACUGGCUAAGAAACAAAUUUCUACUUGCCACUCGCAGGCCAGCUGUGGGUCCACAUGCAAUACUCCCCGCUGCCCCAAAUUAAAAAAAAAAAAAAAGAUUGGUUUCAGUUUUGCCACUUAUUACAUGUGUGCUUCUUGGCAAGGCUUUACUUUUUCCAAACAUAGCUCUCUCCUUUGAAAAACAAGAGUUCAGA
ensembl:lncRNA